GGCUUAAUGGUCUAGUCGUAUGAUUGUCGCUUCGGGUUCAGCCCCAUGGGUGUAAAAGCCAUGAACUGUGACAGGGUAAGCUGGCGUCUUGUUUCCUCCACCUGGGCGAUGCUGACACGACAGUCCCGGGUUCAAAUCCCGGUUAAGCCC